GUUAAGCGACUAAGCGUACACGGUGGAUGCCCUGGCAGUCAGAGGCGAUGAAGGGCGUGCUAAUCUGCGAUAAGCGCCGGUAAGGUGAUAUGAACCGUUAUAACCGGCGAUACCCGAAUGGGGAAACCCAGUGUGACUCGUCACACUAUCAUUAACUGAAUCCAUAGGUUAAUGAGGCGAACCGGGGGAACUGAAACAUCUAAGUACCCCGAGGAAAAGAAAUCAACCGAGAUUCCCCCAGUAGCGGCGAGCGAACGGGGAGGAGCCCAGAGCCUGAAUCAGCAUGUGUGUUAGUGGAAGCGUCUGGAAAGGCGCGCGAUACAGGGUGACAGCCCCGUACACAAAAGCGCAUGUGCUGUGAGCUCGAUGAGUAGGGCGGGACACGUGGUAUCCUGUCUGAAUAUGGGGGGACCAUCCUCCAAGGCUAAAUACUCCUGACUGACCGAUAGUGAACCAGUACCGUGAGGGAAAGGCGAAAAGAACCCCGGCGAGGGGAGUGAAAAAGAACCUGAAACCGUGUACGUACAAGCAGUGGGAGCACCCUUUGGGGUGUGACUGCGUACCUUUUGUAUAAUGGGUCAGCGACUUAUAUUCUGUAGCAAGGUUAACCGAAUAGGGGAGCCGGAGGGAAACCGAGUCUUAAC
rnacentral:rRNA from 1 species